rnacentral:lncRNA from 1 species
GGUGACAAAUACACUUAUUGGAGUACUCAAGCUUCGGUAUAUCAACCGUGGUCUAUGGUACUACUCGGACUUCUUCUACCUUUAAGGAUGAUAAGCGGGCGUGGAUCGAGUCGAAGAGCAAGGAUUGUACGGAAAGAACGACCACAUAGUUUGAAAUACGUAAUGCUUUGAAACGUUAAUUUAAUGCAAAAAUAUUGUAAACCUCUUCCAGUAAGCGCCUAACAUUUUCGUAUUUGAGCUUGUAUGUAAGUAACGUGUCUAAUAAAGAAAGAAAUUUGAAGGCU